AAAAUAGCAAUGCUCAGAGCAAAGCCAGGCAUUUGUAGGGCUUUGGAACCGAGAGCUGUAACCCACGGGAAGCAGCUGCUGAUUUAUUCCAUCAAUCUCACAUUUGAAAGCUAUCAGUUCUCUGGAUGCCUCAGGUUUGGAGGACAGGCUCAGGACACAUGGAUGUCUGCUGCCAUCAUUAAAUGAGGAGGGAAGCUUUGAAACCCGCCUGAGGUUCUGCAUUGGCUCUGAAUGAAAGGUGUUGUGCGUCUGAAGUGCCCAGCCCAAGGGCUCUCCAGCAAUGCAAACAGCCAGCACACAAAGCCAUUAAAGCUCGAGUGCCUGGCCAUGAUUACCUGGAGACAGUUUGCAGCUGAGUCCUGCAGGAACUGGCUUUGUCUGGAAAACCACCCGAGGCAGGUGGGGAAAGUCCAGCCAUCCACGACUUGUCCUGCAGCCAAGAGGGUCCAGGUCAGUGCUGGGGAGCAGGACUGUGCUGCCACAGGGAUCUCCACACUGCAGCCCUUGCCCUGCAGCCAAAGCAGGUGAGGGCAGUGCCCUCUGAAGCAGGAGGACACCUCCAUGUGUGCCACUGUCCUUGGAUGAGGGAGGAUGGCAGGAGAAGAGGGCCAAGGCAUCCCUGGAGAAGUCCUGCAAGCUCCCAGCUUGCCGUUUGUGCCAUCCUGGCAUUUCCCUGCUGUCUCCUGGUGCUGAAGGACAGCUCAGACGCCUCGUUAAUCACCGCUGAUGACGGAGCUGUGGCACUCAGGUCCUGCUGGCUGCUGCUUCCCCAGCCAGGGAUGUUUUGCCGAUGCUGCUCCCUGAAAACUCCAGCUGAAAACUGGGGGAAAACUGCCCCCCUCGGAGCUGUAGUUUGUGGAAGAUGUUCCUACUCUGUUCCAGUCUCUCAUUCCUGCUCAUAGGGCACACAGUGAGUUGUGCCCUUGCAAACCUGCAUCUUUUUACAAUACAUUUUUCCCUUCUUCGUGCUUGUCAAGAUCGAGGGCAGCUCCGUGGUGGGCUGAUCUGCUGCUGCAUUGAUCUGGCAAAGGCUGGGGGUGAAAGCCCCACAGCCUCCAGACGAGGCCAUAGAGCUUUCAGGAUGCAGUUUUCCCGAAUCUGUCCAUCACACAGCAAACAAACACCCCCAGCCUGGAGGCAGCUGGCUCGGGGGUGAGCAUCGAUCGCUGGCUGCUGGGUGAGACCCACCAGAACCCCACCGGUGUCAGGAGGCAGCUCCAGCCCUCCCAGCUCCCAAUCACAGGGCUGGGAAGGAAAGCCAGCCUGCUCAGGAAUCAAUCAUUUGACAUCUGCUGUCAGCCUUCUGACACCCAGCCCCGCCGGUGAGGACCCCAGCAGGAAGCCUGGUGGAUCUCAGCUUGUUUUGGUCUUAAUCUGACCUGGUUUUGUGAUAAUGCCAUCAUCCAUCACUGCCUGGGCUUGUGGGGAGGGGAGGUUAAACUCCUCCCUCACGCUCCACCGCUCCCCUGCCACUGCUUUAUCUCUGCAGAAGCUGCAUUCGAGUGCAAUUCACUUUGUUAUUAAUUUCUUUUACUCAGAGGCUUUUCAAGUGCCCGGCAGCGGGGCUGGUGUCAGGAGAGGCUGCACAGCCCGGCAGCUGCAGUGCUGGAGGGGAUUUGAGCAGCCAGCUCCUCCAAGGGCAGCAGGCAGAGAGCUGAGAGCCCGAAUGGUGAAACUGCCCCGUGGAGAUGGCUCUGGACUGCAGCAGUUCUUCCUCAGAGCUGGAUCAGGAUGGGACUGCAUCACCCUGGCACCCAUGGAGAGCUGCUGCACAGGGACAGUCCAGCUCAGCGGCCCGUGGGUGUCCCUUCAGCAGGUGACAUGUCUCGGUGAGCCCACUGCUGUAGGAGGGUCUGCAGUGCUCUCUGGCCCUUUUCCAGCUGCACAGAUCCCCCUGCCUGCAAUCCCCAGGGAAUCCACCCACACAGAGCUGCACUCCCAGCUGCACAAAAGCUGCUGGAGGGCCAGCCUGUGUCCCUCUGUCCCCCCCAGGCCACCCUGCCAUGCCUUGCACUGCUCUGGGGACUGGGAGUGCUGGGACCCUUCCCGUGGGUUUGAUGUGAGCUUAAUCUGGUAGUGAAACUAUAUUGCAAAAUGUAAUAAAUGAGAGGUUUAAUCAAACCCAGCCAGCCAGCACUGAUGGAAACUUGGUGGCGGAAGAAAAUAUUGCGUUUGUGUUUGUUUAUCUCCCCCUGUGCUCCUGGGGCCAUGUCCUGACUCUGGUGGAGAGCUCCUCGUGCUUGGUGGCGCUGGGGGGCACAGGCUGGAUGUGGGGCCACUGCACUGGGGUCAGUGCCAGCCACCUGCUCCCAGCAGUGGGAUUUGCUCCUGCCACUGCUCUCCACAGCCCCUUUCUCUUCAGGAAGAGGGUCUCACAGGGUACCCCCAUUCCAGGAGCUGGUGUGGGGCUCCAUCCCACAUUUCCUAUCACCCCUGAUGGCGCCAGGAGCCGGUCUUACGGUGCCUCCAGGUCUUGUCUGCCUAAAUUUUAGGCAUAGGAAGGUUGAGCAUCUCCCCAGCGUGGGAACAGCCCUGCCAAGGGUGGGAGUGAGGAUAAAACCACCAGGUUUCUCUGGCUCUGAACUGAGGACAAAACAUCCCAAUAUCCAGCCAGUUGACGCGGCUGGGAAUGAGGAAAGACUCCGCAUUUUCCCUGUGCAUCAGAGCCCCGGGAACGCAGCGGAUCGCGGAGCUGCGGGGCCAGCUGCUCCCGGCGCCGCGGCUCCGCUGCCGCUUCUCUCCAGAUGGCUUUUCUCAAUGAAGCCUCUCCCCGAAAUAGCUGCGCGCUCGCUCUGCAAAUAGCUCCUCUCCUGAGCAGGGAGGCAGCGCGCUCGGAGCCGCGUCCUCUGUGUCCCUGCCACCCUCCGGAGUGCCUGACUCUGCCUGCAAUUCCCUGCGGCCCCUCUGCCUGGGGAAACGGGGAUGUGCUGGAUCCUGCCUUUGAGCAGCGGGAUCAGCCCCGGGCAUCCCACAGCCCUUGGGAAGGGAUGGCUGGUGGCCUCCAGGGCAGGGCAGGUGGCCCUGGGGACACACAGCACAUGGCCCCUGUGCCCCUGGCCGGGCAGCACCGCCCGCAGCUGCUGUGCUGCCUCACGGCCCUUUUUAUGUGCUUAUUGUGCCAGGGGGGGAAGACAAUCUUCUCUGUAGGUUUAACCGAUUUAUUAAUAGUCUGUGAUGUCAGCAAUAGCUCAUCCAUAAAUCUGAUCUUAAGAAUUUAUGGGGCAAAUAUUCCAGUGCCGUAUUAAAGACACAAUUCAUAAAUGCCUCUAAGUACCAGC